rnacentral:lncRNA from 1 species
ACUAUUUGGGCAAUUCUAUUAGGAAAUGAGAAGGCCUGAGAGGAACAGAAAAGUAAAAAUUCAAAUAAUUGACCCAAAAUGCUGUUGACUAGAUUCAUGUUGCUUUGGCAACAUUUACUCGCUGUUGGCAGUUAAUUAACUCUUCUGUGCUUCAUCUACAAAUGGGGGGAAAUAAUGCCUACUUCGUAGGGUUUUUUUUGAGAUAAAGUGAUUUGUAAGAAUAGUGGUUGGCAUGUUGUAAUCACAUAUAAGCAUUAGGCAUCAUUAUCAUCCUCCUAGUAAUUUCCCUAAAUAGCUGGCAGAGAAAACAAACUAAUCAACAGAGCUUUAACUAAACAAGUUGGGCCAUUUAAGAAAUUUCAUUCUUUGUUGCAGAUUUUUCAUAAUUCCAAAUUUUACUUUGUUUUGUAAUGUGCAGAAUUCCCCACAGGGUGGCAGAAAAUUAUUUGAAACCAUGUAGAAUUACAUGUUUUUGUGAUCUUUCGUUUCUUCUUCAUUUCAGUAACUUAAGCAUUUAAGCUUUGAUCAGUGUUUGGUUUUGAGUAAGCCAUUAUCCUAUUUGUCUUUUCCCCCAUCUUGAUGAAUUAUCCACAUGUAUUGUUGAAA